rnacentral:rRNA from 1 species
AGUGAACGCUGGCGGUAGGCCUAACACAUGCAAGUCGAACGGCAGCACAGUAAGAGCUUGCUCUUACGGGUGGCGAGUGGCGGACGGGUGAGGAAUACAUCGGAAUCUACUUUUUCGUGGGGGAUAGCGUAGGGAAACUUACGCUAAUACCGCAUACGACCUACGGGUGAAAGCAGGGGAUCUUCGGACCUUGCGCGAUUGAAUGAGCCGAUGUCGGAUUAGCUAGUUGGCGGGGUAAAGGCCCACCAAGGCGACGAUCCGUAGCUGGUCUGAGAGGAUGAUCAGCCACACUGGAACUGAGACACGGUCCAGACUCCUACGGGAGGCAGCAGUGGGGAAUAUUGGACAAUGGGCGCAAGCCUGAUCCAGCCAUACCGCGUGGGUGAAGAAGGCCUUCGGGUUGUAAAGCCCUUUUGUUGGGAAAGAAAAGCAGCAGGUUAAUACCCCGCUGUUCUGACGGUACCCAAAGAAUGAGCACCGGCUAACUUCGUG